rnacentral:rRNA from 1 species
GAUGAACGCUGGCGGCGUGCCUAAUACAUGCAAGUAGAACGCUGAAGGAGGAGCUUGCUCUUCUGGAUGAGUUGCGAACGGGUGAGUAACGCGUAGGUAACCUGCCUUGUAGCGGGGGAUAACUAUUGGAAACGAUAGCUAAUACCGCAUGACAACAGUUAUUGCAUGAUAACUGUUUAAAAGGGGCAACUGCUCCACUACCAGAUGGACCUGCUUUGUAUUAGCUAGUUGGUGAGGUAACGGCUCACCAAGGCGACGAUACAUAGCCGACCUGAGAGGGUGAGCGGCCACACUGGGACUGAGACACGGCCCAGACUCAUACGGGAGGCAGAAGGAGGGAAUCGGCGGCAAGGGACGGAAGUCUGACCGAGAAACGCCGCGGGAGUGAAGAAGGUUGUCGGAUCGUAAAGCACGGUUGUAAGAGAAGAACGAGUGUGAGAGUGGAAAGUUCACACUGUGACGGUAUCUUACCAGAAAGGGACGGCUAACUACGUG